rnacentral:rRNA from 1 species
UACGGAGGGUGCAAGCGUUAUCCGGAUUCACUGGGUUUAAAGGGUGCGUAGGCGGGUUGGUAAGUCCGUGGUGAAAUCUCCGAGCUUAACUCGGAAACUGCCGUGGAUACUAUCAAUCUUGAAUAUCGUGGAGGUAAGCGGAGUAUGUCAUGUAGCGGUGAAAUGCUUAGAUAUGACAUAGAACACCAAUUGCGUAGGCAGCUUACUACACGAUCAUUGACGCUGAGGCACGAAAGCGUGGGGAGCAAACAGG